UUUUCAGCACCAACUGUACAAUACCCGGUAUACCACAAGAUACUGCAAACCCUUUAUUUGUUUAAUUCAGUUCCUCACAAGACUUUCUGCUUCAGCUACACAAGUUUGUUACACAUUUUCCAGGCAUGCUCUUUCACCAUUUUUAUUUACCUUUUAUCAUAAUAUCAAAGCUGUUCUAACAAGGCAGUUUGCACCUAGAUCUGAGAUGGUGGUCUUUCUUAGGAGAGCUUCAGACAAAAGUAGAGAGUUGGAAUUGUUUUUUAACAGAAUUUAGCUUUGAUUUGUCUCAUUUCAUCUAAAGUUCUGGCCUCUUUAGGUAAACUCCCAAAGUGGAAAGGUUGGCAAUCUAACUGUGCCUUGUCUUUCAGCAGUGGGGAAGUGUCAUCGCUGUUGUGCAUAUCAGGUGAGCUUGAAUAUCUGCUUCCUUUUUCUUACACUGGAAUCAGUUUCCCUGUAAAUCCACAAGCUUCUUCCUCUUGGGAAUAGCCCCAGCUACCUAUUUUUAAAACUGGAUUAUCGCUGUAAGACCCUACAUUCAGGAAUUUUCAGGCAGAAGGGAGCAUCCUUGCAGCAUAUGAGUUAAACAGCAACACUUAUUUAAACAUAGUUUUCAACAAAGAAAGAAAGCUACUAGGUUUUACAGCUAUGUUUUUUCCUUGUUUUUAAAUCAAGUAAGAAGGCCAGGAAUAUUUACAUCUGUUUUGGCUGACACACAGAAAGAUCUGCCUUUUGCAGUAUGCUGUCAGACUGCUCUGGUGUCUCAGUCACAGGAGUGAGGCAAGCAACGCCAGUGUGAAUAGCCUGCACCUGGGAAGCAGCAUUCUUGGUUCCAGUGGGUCAGUGUCAUCUGCAUGAGGAUUGCUUCUGGACUUUGUGGCUAACCAAACCUCUAUGUGGAUACGCAGAUCUAUGUGUGCUCUUACUGCACCAGCCUGGCUCAGAAAUAAUAGCUCUUCAGAUGAAUAGUGAGAUAAAUCAGGGGCUGAUCCCUUGCUCACUUGCUCCCUUGUCCCAGGGUUUUACAAAGCUUUGGGUAGAAGCCUAGUCAUGGCUUCAGGUAGUUCUUUCAUCUGAUUUACUGCGCAAGUAGAAACACUGACAUGCAAAAAAGAAGACAGGACUUCUCAUCCACACAGCAGCCUGUACUGCCUCAGUUUAAAAUGGUUAUUAAAUUGCGUUGCCAAGUACUCUAACUGUAUCACUGUAAUGACAAGUUGCACAAGCUUGAGAGCUCCAGCCUUUCAACCAGAAUCGGAUCCGCUUCUCUGGAAUAGCAGGUUUUAGAGACUUCCUUUACUCUGCAGUGUGCUUGUGCUACUCAAAAUGAUUAAUAUUUGGUGUAUUAAGCACAUGCUACAGUGUAACAACAGUCUGUUGCACAUGAUAAAAGGUCUGACUCUGUAGUGCUUACAAGAAAACGUAUCAUUCAAGUAAUUGGUUAAAGUUCAUGUCUAAUUUUGGUGCAGAUAACCAAUUUUACUCCACAAAUUCUUCCUGUUUUUGCUUUCAUGAUUGAUAGCAAAUCACAGGAACAAGAGAACCAAUCCAAGCAGAAAUAAUCCGACUGUAUGUUUGAAAACUAUUGUCACAUUGUAUGCAUUUUAAACAUCAAAGGCUGUUUUUAAAAAUACUAUGAUUUUCCUUGAAAACUCACUUUUUCGUGAAUAGACUGUUCUACUCAGGAAUGACAAUAUAAGCCUGGGUAUUCUGGAGUUCCAGAUUUACCUCAUUAAUUUUUUGUUUGUUCAGUUGUCAGUUAAAAUGACAUUUUUCUUAACUAUCAAUCUGGCAAUCAUCCUCUCUGUCCUCUGGCAUCAAGUUAGAAACCUUGUAUGCUAAAAUAUGCUUUCAGCAAAGUACACUCCUCCAUUACUUCAUCUAUUUAACCUCAUCAUCUCCAAAUUACCUUCCAGUUCCCACUGGUGGGCUAUGCUGCAAUGUAUUGCAUUUCCACAUGCAGCUAUUAUUGUCACAAAAAACUAGCUGGUAAGAAUCUUACUCAUGGACAAUAAGGAAGAUAGGUAAUGAAUAUUCAGUUUCUGGCCUGCGUGGUUGUCAGUGCUGAUUAUAUGGAACUUGACAGGAGUCUCUCAUACUUGCAAAGCCAGCAAGUGGCUUGAAGAGGUGCGACAGUGAGAUCGAGCCUGAAGAGCAUUGGAAAGAAAUGCAACACCAAACAUUCCUGGGAAAAAAAGUGCAUGGUGAGUGGGUGUUGGUCUGACUUUGUUCUUCCAGUUUGAGGUAUGCAUGGUCCUGAUAUGCUGGUUUGCUACCACCCUGGUCACCUGGCCUUUCUAGUUCCCAGUUUAAAGCACUUUUGUAGCCCGAGUACCUGGUUUGUCUAAUUGUUAUUUCAAAGACAGAAAACUCUCAUUUCUAAAUCCUUUAAAAAGGCUCCUGUUACAUACUCAGUCAUGGGAUGGACAAGCACCCAGACACCACUGUACUGUCAUCUUUAGCAGGACAUUUUCAGAGUACAACAUCUGAUGUGUGAUCUGGAUGCAGCCUGUAAAGCAUGGCAGGAGUACACAGCAAAGCUCCUGAAGGACAGAGGGAGAAUGCUUUUGCCUUUCUAAAUGCGCCUUCACUUAGAAAACUUACCUGGAGGAACUGAGUGUAAAAACCUGUUUUGGACAUUAAAGGGUCAAUCGUG